GACGAACGCUGGCGGCGUGCUUAACACAUGCAAGUCGAACGGAAAGGCCCUGCUUUUGUGGGGUGCUCGAGUGGCGAACGGGUGAGUAACACGUGAGUAACCUGCCCUUGACUUUGGGAUAACUUCAGGAAACUGGGGCUAAUACCGGAUAGGAGCUCCUGCUGCAUGGUGGGGGUUGGAAAGUUUCGGCGGUUGGGGAUGGACUCGCGGCUUAUCAGCUUGUUGGUGGGGUAGUGGCUUACCAAGGCGUUGACGGGUAGCCGGCCUGAGAGGGUGACCGGCCACAUUGGGACUGGGAUACGGCCCAGACUCCUACGGGAGGCAGCAGUGGGGAAUAUUGCACAAUGGGCGGAAGCCUGAUGCAGCAACGCCGCGUGCGGGAUGACGGCCUUCGGGUUGUAAACCGCUUUCGCCUGUGACGAAGCGUGAGUGACGGUAAUGGGUAAAGAAGCACCGGCUAACUACGUG
rnacentral:rRNA from 1 species